GAUGAACGCUAGCGGCAGGCUUAAUACAUGCAAGUCGUGGGGCAGCAUGAGUGUAGCAAUACAUUUGAUGGCGACCGGCAAACGGGUGCGGAACACGUACACAACCUUCCUAUAAGUGGGGAAUAGCCCAGAGAAAUUUGGAUUAAUACCCCGUAACAUAACGAUGUGGCGUCACAUUGUUAUUAUAGCUUCGGCGCUUAUUGAUGGGUGUGCGGCUGAUUAGAUAGUUGGCGGGGUAACGGCCCACCAAGUCUACGAUCAGUAGCUGAUGUGAGAGCAUGAUGAGCCACACGGGCACUGAGACACGGGGCCGACUCCUACGGGAGGCAGCAGUAAGGAAUAUUGGUCAAUGGACGCAAGUCUGAACCAGCCAUGCCGCGUGAAGGAUUAAGGUCCUCUGGAUUGUAAACUUCUUUUAUCUGGGACGAAAAAAGGCUUUUCUAAGUCACUUGACGGUACCAGAUGAAUAAGCACCGGCUAACUCCGUGCCAGCAGCCGCGGUAACAC
rnacentral:rRNA from 1 species